rnacentral:lncRNA from 1 species
GGCUUCCAGGGACUUCCUGGCCCUCCUGGUCCCCCGGGUGAAGGUGGAAAGCAAGGUGACCAGGAAUUUGGUGUGGACAUAGGGCCUGUCUGUUUCUUGUAAAACCCUCAACCCCAAAACAACACAAUCCAUUGCGAACCCAAAGGACCCAAAUACUUUCUAACCGCAGUCACUCUAGGAUCUGCACUGAAUGGCUGACCUGACCUGAUAUUCAACUAUCCUAACCUCACAGUCCGGACCAUUCUCCCCUUUCUAAGAGACCUGAACUGGGCAGACUGCAAAAUAAAAUCUCGAAGUUCUAUUUAUUUAUUGUCUUCCUGUAAGACCUUUGGGUCAAGGCGGAGACAGGAACUAUCUGGUGUGAGUCAGACGCCCCCCGAGUGACUGCUCCCAGCCCAGCCAGAAGACCCCUACAGGUGCUGGGCGCAGGAACUGUGUGUCCUACACAAUGGUGCUAUUCUGUGUCAAACACCUCUGUAUUUUUUAAAACACCAAUUGAUAUUAAAAACCAAAAAAAAAAAAAUCAUUGGAAAGG